rnacentral:misc_RNA from 1 species
AUGGCUUCCUCUGUUUUUUUACACCCUACCACUUCACCCCCCAUCCCUUCUCUCUCGCGUGCGGCUCUUACAUAGAGUGCACGGUUCACCGGACCAACUCUCACGUUAGAAGCACACGCGCUUUUCCGGUCGUUCGCACUUCCUUGUUGGGGGUAGGGGGAAGAGAAAACGAAAAGGAAGUCGGGUCGGUGUGAACGUUGCACACCCGGUGCCCACCCCCCUCCCUUAUAACUAGACGGUGGCUUGGCAUUGGCGUGGACGUUGUCGGCGAUUGGCGCGGGCCCUCUCCCUCCAUCCCCCGUAGUGCUCCCUUAAGCCUCUCCCCUCCCCCUCUUUGCCAUAGAGAGAUCUCUUGUGUGUAACGCUUUCUUGUUUCUUUUCGCCCUCUCUCAGAGAGUCGCUUCGUCUUUCUCUUCUCAAAUCUUCCUGUCGACCCCCCCCUCCUCCUCCUUCCCUCCCUCCCUCCCUCCCUCCGCUUAGCGGCGCUCAUUGAGGACGGCAGUGUGCAAGCGGCCAGCUACACCAGCGUCGCCGUUGCCCACCACACGACGUCCUCGAACUUCCUAACGAUGUCCUUCGGAGCUGCCGGGGUCGAGUUGGUUGGCGCGGUCCCUGUGACGGGCGGCGUCAGAGCCCUCGCGACCAUCGCGGCGAGCACGCGCAGACACGUUCACCUCACCGACUGUGACGCUUCGACCACUGAUAGUGUUGGUGGCGACGCGGGUGGUGCGGGCGGCUGCUCAGUCAGACAAGCACCUCCUUCGCACUUGGUAAUGAGCGAAUCUGCUGUUGCCGGCACGUCCAUCGCGCGCGACAGCCACACUUGCUCUGGUGGCAUCGGCAUGCGGGCCGGCUCUGCGGCGGCGACCACCAUGGCCGAGGCGGUCGACAGAUGCUUGACAGCUGCUCAAAACAGCGAGCGCGACGAGGAAAGGUGCCGUAGCAGCGGCAGCCCUCACCAUGACUGUCUCGUAAAGCCGACAGGAACAGCUGCGGCAAAGGCGCGCCAGUACCCGGUGACGGUGGCCGCUCCGCAGGCACUUCCAACCUCCUCCACGUCGCUAGCAUCCUCGCCUCGCUCGGCGAAGAUGGAAAGCUCAAGCCGCAUCCUCGACAAGCUUCCACAGCAACGCCAGCAACCGGUUUCUCCAGGGAGCCCUUCCUCGCACGCUGUCUCGUCUACCGCCGUGCCUGUGCAGCACCUUUACCGCGUGCCUUCAGCCUUCUACGCGCACAACAGCUUCACGUCGUCGGCGGCGCUGUCGGCCGCACGCAACCACCGUGGCCAUGGCGACACAUUCACAGGCCCGGCUCCCCCUCGUAUCUCCGCCGAGGGCCCCACGCACAGGCAGCUGCGGCUGCCACCGGAAGCGAAUCGCUCCCCAAGCGGCAUGGAUGCGCUGGAGGAGCGUGCUCAUCGCGCGGCGGAGUUGCAUGCAAGUUGUGGUAUCUGCGAGGAGUCCGAGACAGUGCUGCCCUGGUCAACGGGUAGCCGCUCGGGUGAGGCAGGACGGACCCAAGUGCCGGUGCCCUCGUCGUUGCUGACGGUACAGGUGGCCCGCGGGUACCGCAUCUCCCGCCAUCCGUCCGGACUGGGCGCUGAAGAAAGGCCGCCAUCAGAUGUCGGGAGCGUCCGAUUAGUGCCCGGGUCAAAGCGACGGCGCCGGCCCGAGCGCAUGGGGAGCUCUGCGGCUGCGCAGCUGGACCAGCGCCUCAGCUACACAAGCAGCCAUGACGGUGGCGGUGGCGCGGCGGUGCCGAUGCGGCGUCUAGCAUCGCCGUCCACGUCAUCUUCGUCAUCGGUGGCGUUGGCGUCUCCACAGUCGCCGGCGACGGCUCUCGUUUCCGCGGCGGCGCCAGCAAGUGGUAUCAGCGCUACCCGGCCACCGGCUGCAUCGCCGCCGUUCAACGCACUCCUCGCUGCCUUUGGCCCUGCACCGUCUGGGAUAGCUGCAUUGACAGCCGGUGCCAUUGGUCCGCCUCUGGCAACUGCUACUGUGCCUCCCACGCGACCGCCUGCGUGGUUGCGGCCGUGGCUGUCGCACGCCCUCUCGCGCGCUAUGGCUGCUCAUCUCGAGCGCGACGCGGACACCGUCACCGCGGCUGCUAGCUCUGCGGCUACCUCCACCCAGGGCCUAGAUUCAUUUUUUCCUGUUGCGCAUGCGGCUACCGCUACCGCGUCGGUGGCCUCCGCCUCAGCGCAGCCGUGCACGCUACGGUCCGCGCUGCUGCUUAUCUUCGAUGGACUAGAACGAUUUGAGGCGGACCUGGCGGAGGUGUUGUCGGACGGACCGAGGACGCACGGCUCCUCCAAUUUUUUUCAGGGCGUGGAUGUUCGUGACUGUCGCGCCUCCUUUUCAUUUUUCCCAUCUCCGCCUGCAGCAGCGGCUGCCUCCGGCGUAUUCGAUGAACUUGUCGAGCAGCUGCGCCGUCUCAUGCGGCAGUGGUGCGAAGUGCUCUCCCAGUGGCCAUGCGAAGCAGCGACGCUCGGUUAUGUGGAGUGGUGGAUGGGCCACCCGGCUUGGGCCGAUCUUGUAGCGUGUGACACCGCCAUUCCCGCCACCUUGAGCGUGUCUUCGGCGACGCCAGCGGCUAUGAAUCGAAAGGAGACGACUGGGCGGCGGACUGAGACCAGCCAUGGUGGUGAACUACAGCCGCCUCAACCGCAGCCGCCAGAGGCUGCCUUUGUUCUGCAAGGCAUCCUCGCAGCUGUUGUGACAGAAGGCAUGCGCACGCUGCUGGAUGCGUUGGUGGACGCGUUUGUGCGCGCCGUCAGUGAGCUGCUACACAGCACUGCUGUCAUUGGUCAGCCUCGAAGCGCGUCACAAACUACCUCUUGCCCCGAUCUGCAGGCAGAAGUCGCUGUCGCUGCAUUCGCUAAGGCACAGCACACCUGCCUGGCGCUCCUCCGCCUUCUCACGUCUCUCUACGUGAGCCCACCCCGAGUUCUCCAGCAGCUUCGGACGCUGGUGCAAGUUGACGGCUGUUGCGGCACCGCGUUGACGGGCGGGACUGCGAACGAUGAUGCGAAAACGACGACACGGCAUGAAGAUGAAGGCUCGCCAGCGUCGCCGGCUAGUCUCUCCACUGCCACUGCUGCGGUCGUUGCCGGUGAGGAUCGCCAGCACCAGCUGCACCCGCACCCGCAUCCGUCAUCUUCGUCUUUGUCAACGCCGCGCGGUGGGCCUCCUGGCUCGCCGUCCGCGUCACGAGUGUGCAUCAGUGCACUGGACAAUUCGCAGCUGCGGUCACGGGCGUGCCAGCUACACUACCAGCUCCUCUACGCUGUAUGCCGUCUCUGCAACGAAUUGCCCAUGCUCUGGCAGCCACAGGACGACACUCGAAAUGCUGAGGAGGACGAGGAGGGCAACGGUGUGCGGGCCAGCAGCGCCGCCUACAUGCACCUUUCGCCCCGUCUUAGGCACGACGGUGAAUGCAAGAUGGCAAAACUAACCUUGUUUGCGACGGCGGCACGGUUGGCGGCCACCGUAUCGGCUUUGCUUCUCCACGUUCAGCUGCCGAUGAAGGGAGACCUGCUGUGUGUCGCGAGUCGCCUGGCACAGUGGCGUGCGACGCUGCUCCGGUCAUCGUGCAUGAGCGAGCGCGAGUAUGCGGCGGCGAUGGGUCACCUCUGCGCGCUCAUGGCACAGGCCACGUGAUUUUCAGUGAUGUCGCCCGACGUAAUUGAUUCACCAUGUAGAAGACAUGAUCAGAGUGUGAUGCAGCGAUGAAUGCAGAGGGGCGAGGGAGUAGAGCGGGCGCACUAUCGAAAGGAGGAGUAGGAAGCAAAAGAUGGAGCAUGGUGUGAUGCAAAGUCUGUGCGGAGAGGGAAGAGGCUGCACGCGGCAGUGACGCAGUGACCGGCACCACUCCCUUCCUCCACCAAUAGCCCUCAUGCGCGCUCAUGCACACUCACAAUACAAGCACGCGCACAGGAACAGAGGUGCUGUGGAUGUCUCGAUGGACAAUCUCGCUAUGUGUUUGGCCCUUUCCCUCUCCCUCCCGUCUCUCUUCCUGCCCUGGCACCAGCACCCGAGGGGAUGUGUGCCUGGAUGUGUUGUUGGUUGAUGAAUGGCUGAGUGUACGUGUGUAUAUCUACACGCGCCGCGAGUGUGCCGUAGCCUCUGCGUUUUUUUAUCCCCCCCCCCCCUCUCUCUCUUUAAUGAUGCCUGAGAGAGGGUCUGUGUGUAAGAGGGAGACUCUGGAGAGGAGAGGGAGUGGUGUGCGCUGGUGGAGGACGACUCUGUCGACUUCUCCUCGUAGCGCCCCACUCGUCUCCUUUGUUUCCCUCCCUCCAUCCUUCUCUUUUUUUCUCGCUACAACCCAAGCCGCCGCCACGCCCCCGACCCUCUCUGCCCCCCCCCCCUCUCAAUGACAGCGCAUGGAGGGCAGCGGCGUCUAACUAACGUUACAAGAGAAGG